rnacentral:lncRNA from 1 species
AUCGAUCUAUGUAAUGAGAUGCAUGGUUUUGGUUUGUGUUCUUGAUUUGAGUUUACUUGAGGACAAGCAAAAGUUCAAGUUUGGGGGUGUGUUAAGUGUAUAUUUAUACACUUAAUUAUACCUUUUAAUUGGAGCUUUUGGUGUGUUUUUACGAUAAUUGGUGCUUAAUUUGGUUAUUAUUUGUAUUUUAGGUGCAAAUUGAAGAAUUGACAACUUUUGGGGUGAAAACUGCAAAUUCAGAGAAAAAGUGGGCCAAAAGUGAAAAAAUCAGAAAUCUGGAGAAUUAAAGACCGCACGGCCGUGCGG